GAUGAAGAACGCAGCGAAAUGCGAUACUUGGUGUGAAUUGCAGAAUCCCGUGAACCAUCGAGUCUUUGAACGCAAGUUGCGCCCGAAGCCAUUAGGCCGAGGGCACGCCUGCCUGGGCGUCACACGUCGUUGCCCCCCCAUCUACUCCUUCGGGAUUGCGGGGGGCGGAUGAUGGCCUCCCGUGCGCCUUGUCGCGCGGUUGGCAUAAAUACCAAGUCCUCGGCGACGCACGCCACGACAAUCGGUGGUUGCGAAACCUCGGUUGCCUGUCGUGUGCGGUCGUCGCGCAUCGAGGGCUCGAAAAAAUUGCCGGGUUCCGGCUCGGCUUUCAACGCGACCCCAGGUCAGGCGGGGUUACCCGCUGAAUUUAAGCAUAUCAAUAAGCGGAGGA
rnacentral:misc_RNA from 1 species